ensembl:lncRNA
AUGAAAUCAGAAGGAGCCCCGCCCCCACCAGGCUCAAGAGCCAGGCAGACAGCGUUCCCACCACGGCCCCGUCACUCCGGGCAGUCACUUCACUCACUUCUCAACCCCGGGCUCCUGAUCUCGAGCACCAGUUUCCACAAUAAAAUACAUGUGCCGAGGAUAUACGGGACGCAAGUGCUCCUGAUGAGUACCCAGGCGCUCCCCGGAGGGUUUACUUUGUGCUCAGUCACUCAGUCGUGUCGGACUCUUUGUGAACCCAUGGACUGCAGCCCGCCAGGCUCCUCUGUCUGUGGGAUUCUCCAGGCAAGAAUACUGGAGUGGGUUGCCAUUUCCUCCUCCAGGGGAUCUUCCAGACCCAGGAACUGAACCUGCAUCUCCUGUGUCUCCUGCACUGCAGGUGGAUUAUUAACCCGUGGAGCCAUCAGGGAAGCCCCAUUUACUCUAUACCUUGCUCCUAAGUUCACUUUGAAAUACUGAAACCAAGUCUCAGAAAAAUCGUUAUCACUGAUGAAUGUACGGUCCUCUGCAUUUUCCAAGGGUCUCCAGUCCAGGGUCCCAAUUGCAAGUCGGUAGAGCAACCGUUUUGCUGAUGAAGUUCAAGCAUUUUCUCCCCACGCCUUCCGAAGGACCUAGACUAUGUCAGGGCAGAAACGCCCUUCAGUCAGCUCACGGGCAAGCUUGCUUCACUCAACCUGACACAGCAAAUGCCUGAACACCUCUUCCUUCUCCUCCUCCUCGCCUGCAGAGGAUGCAGGCACUGUCCCUGAGAGAGUUCCACCGUGUCAGAGGGAUUUAAAUCUAAACCGCAAGCCUCCCACCUGGCAGCCCUGGGCCGUCGCUAUUUUUAGCACAAGGAGAACUGGGAAAGAAAGGGGAAUCGUAUAACUGCACCCGCUGCACCAGUAACUCCAUAGCUAACGGGGAAAUCUUUUAAUCCAGAUUCUCACUGCAAAUCUCAGCUGUCUGACACCAGUUCCAUUCACUCAAGAAUGGUCUGAAGAGCAAAGAGGCACUCAGCGUGUGCACACACACACUCGCGGAAGCACACAGAUGCACACCACAUACCCACAAAGCAGGAGAACGAGGCAUUAGAGCCAGGGAGCUAAGCCCAAAGCAGGCCUUCUGAAGAAGACGCUGAUAUUCUACCAACCACGGGCCCUCGGAUUUGACUUUUCAGUUUAAUUCCUAAGAAACUUCGGGAACUUCCCUGGUCGUCCAGUGGCUGAGAUUCCGUGAUCCCAAGGCAGGGGGCCCAGGUUUGAUCCCUGGUCAGGGAACUAGAUCCCACAGCCUCCACUAAGAGUCUGCAAGCCGAAACUAAACAUCCCGUGUGCCGAAACUGAGGCCCAGCACAGCCAAAUACGUAAGUGUUAAAAAAAGCAGAAACUCUCAGAAUCAGUGUCACUUAGAGGAGGGAACUGGGGUGUUGGAGAAGACUCCCGAGAGUCCCUGGGGCUGCACGGAGAUCCAACCAGUCCAUCCUAAAGGAGAUCAGUCCUGAAUAUUCACUGGAAGGACUGAUGUGAAGCUCCAAUACUUUGGCCACCUGAUGUGAAGAGCCCACUCAUUAGAAAAGACCCUAAUGCUGGGAAAGAUUGAAGGUGGGAGGAGAAGAGGGUGGCAGAGGAUGAGAUGGUUGGAUGGCAUCACUGACUCAACAGACAUGAGUUUGAGCAAACUCCAGGGGUUGGUGAUGGACAGGGAGGCCUGGCAUGCUGCAGUCCAUGGAGUUGCAAACAGUCGGACACGACUGCGCCCAGUUCUACACAGAGGUGGGAGCACGUCUCUAAAGUCUCUGAGACAGACGUCUGUGCUCUCGGCACUCGGCAUGUCCUGAAACUCAGGGCAGCAUCCUGAUCCCUAAGUGGGGUGCCUCUUGCCAUUUUCCCAGGCAGGCGGGAGUCCGUCGCCCCAGAUCCCUCUGAGCCCCUCGGGGCAGGAAAGCAGGCCCUCAUUCCGAUGUCUGACAUCGGAAGUGAAUCCUCUCCCUCUUCCUCUCUUCAUCUGGGCUGAAGCCUGCGGGGAAGCCGGCGGUGUGAGGAUGGAUUAGGGAGAAUUGAUGAUUCAGCACCUACGCUUCCUGCCCGGAGCUCGGUGAUCACUGACUGUCUCGAUCAGCAGAUAGAAAACGAAAGCCCCAGAGAAGAGACAGGAAGAUUCACACCAGAAAAGGCAACAGUGACAAGGAUCCUCGGCUCAGAAGUGGGGGCUUUGUGAUGGGCUCGGGCUGAAAAGACUCUACCAGAUGGGCUUAUACUUCGUUCCUGAAGGCAGUCAGAGAAAGGGAGCCUGGUUACCUCUGAACCACAGUUAACCACAGAGCUCUGGGGGGGGCCCCAGAGACUGGAGUCCAGACCCUGGUUUUACAAAUGAGGCUCAUGAAAUGCCGAGGGGAUCUGUGAUUCCUGGACCAUUCUGGAAGCAUUUGUUCAUUAUUACACUCCGUGGGGCUCAGAUAGGAGUGGAAGCUUUUCUCUGUCCAGAAUGACCAUUUUCCUCGUCUUCUGCAAUUGGUCUGAGUCCAGCUCCUACUUUAAAAUCCAAGCCCAAGUCUCACCUCCUCCAGGAAGCCUUCCUGAUUUCCCCCAGCCUGUGUUGCUUCCCCUGGAGGCUGACCGUCUCUGAGCUAUGACAGAGUGCUGCUUUGUGUAACUAAACACGCUUUCUAAGAGAUACCCAGUAAGCUCAACCUCAGCCACUUCAGAAAAAAUGCCCUUUGAGGACCACGGACCUGCUCCAGGAGCAGGGGUGUGGGGGUGUGGAAGGAGGGUGGGGGCAGAGGAGCAGGCACCUCUUAGGGCAGCUGUCCAACUCAGGGUGUUGAUAAAGGUGGGAAACAGACGGUGUGAUACAAUCUCUUGUAAAGACUGAAGAUAGUCCUAAUGCCAUUGUGUAUAUUUGCCUGCUUCCUGCCUUAUGGUCAACCUAGCUAUGUGCCUUAUUUGCAAAGAGGAAGGAAGUUCUGUAGCAAGUCCCUUAAUCAGGGUGCAAAAUAAAACUUUUGUGCCCCUUUCA